UACGUAGGGUGCAAGCGUUAAUCGGAAUUACUGGGCGUAAAGCGUGCGCAGGCGGUUAUGCAAGACAGAUGUGAAAUCCCGGGCUUAACCUGGGAACCGCAUUUGUGACUGCAUAGCUGGAGUACGGCAGAGGGGGAUGGAAUUCCGCGUGUAGCAGUGAAAUGCGUAGAUAUGCGGAGGAACACCGAUGGCGAAGGCAGUCCCCUGGGCCUGUACUGACGCUCGAUGCACGAAAGCGUGGGGAGCAAACAGG
rnacentral:rRNA from 1 species